CGCUGGCGGCGUGCCUAAUACAUGCAAGUAGAACGCUGAAGAGAGGAGCUUGCUCUUCUUGGAUGAGUUGCGAACGGGUGAGUAACGCGUAGGUAACCUGCCUUGUAGCGGGGGAUAACUAUUGGAAACGAUAGCUAAUACCGCAUAACAAUGGAUGACACAUGUCAUUUAUUUGAAAGGGGCAAUUGUUCCACUACAAGAUGGACCUGCGUUGUAUUAGCUAGUAGGUGAGGUAAUGGCUCACCUAGGCGACGAUACAUAGCCGACCUGAGAGGGUGAUCGGCCACACUGGGACUGAGACACGGCCCAGACUCCUACGGGAGGCAGCAGUAGGGAAUCUUCGGCAAUGGGGGCAACCCUGACCGAGCAACGCCGCGUGAGUGAAGAAGGUUUUCGGAUCGUAAAGCUCUGUUGUAAGUCAAGAACGGGUGUGAGAGUGGAAAGUUCACACUGUGACGGUAGCUUACCAGAAAGGGACGGCUAACUACGUGCCAGCAGCCGCGGUAAUACGUAGGUCCCGAGCGUUGUCCGGAUUUAUUGGGCGUAAAGCGAGCGCAGGCGGUUUGAUAAGUCUGAAGUUAAAGGCUGUGGCUCAACCAUAGUUCGCUUUGGAAACUGUCAAACUUGAGUGCAGAAGGGGAGAGUGGAAUUCCAUGUGUAGCGGUGAAAUGCGUAGAUAUAUGGAGGAACACCGGUGGCGAAAGCGGCUCUCUGGUCUGUAACUGACGCUGAGGCUCGAAAGCGUGGGGAGCGAACAGGAUUAGAUACCCUGGUAGUCCACGCCGUAAACGAUGAGUGCUAGGUGUUGGAUCCUUUCCGGGAUUCAGUGCCGCAGCUAACGCAUUAAGCACUCCGCCUGGGGAGUACGACCGCAAGGUUGAAACUCAAAGGAAUUGACGGGGGCCCGCACAAGCGGUGGAGCAUGUGGUUUAAUUCGAAGCAACGCGAAGAACCUUACCAGGUCUUGACAUCCCGAUGCUAUUUCUAGAGAUAGAAAGUUACUUCGGUACAUCGGUGACAGGUGGUGCAUGGUUGUCGUCAGCUCGUGUCGUGAGAUGUUGGGUUAAGUCCCGCAACGAGCGCAACCCCUAUUGUUAGUUGCCAUCAUUCAGUUGGGCACUCUAGCGAGACUGCCGGUAAUAAACCGGAGGAAGGUGGGGAUGACGCCAAAUCAUCAUGCCCCUUAUGACCUGGGCUACACACGUGCUACAAUGGUUGGUACAACGAGUUGCGAGUCGGUGACGGCGAGCUAAUCUCUUAAAGCCAAUCUCAGUUCGGAUUGUAGGCUGCAACUCGCCUACAUGAAGUCGGAAUCGCUAGUAAUCGCGGAUCAGCACGCCGCGGUGAAUACGUUCCCGGGCCUUGUACACACCGCCCGUCACACCACGAGAGUUUGUAACACCCGAAGUCGGUGAGGUAACCUUUUGGAGCCAGCCGCCUAAGGUGGGACAGAUGAUUGGGGUGA
rnacentral:rRNA from 1 species